rnacentral:sRNA from 1 species
GAGAGGCCGACCCGGUGGAGCAUCUCAGCGCGAAGCCGGUCCAGAACGCUGAAUCCCACAUCGGCGCCGUCUUCGGCC